rnacentral:lncRNA from 1 species
AUCCACCCAAUGCUGAAGUGUCUGCAGUAUCGGCACUCAGAAGGGCAGUGAAUUGAAGCUUCAUACUACUGAACAUGACGAGAGAAAACCCUAUAUGAGUACGUCAUAUGAAAUAGAGCUCAUCUGAAGUACAGAGCCAUAACUGAUGCUUUAAUCUCAUCCUCUCUCAGGCUAUGGUGAGGUAUGUAAAAACCUGAGAUGAAUAGUUCUAGGGGCAUAAGAUUUUGUUUAUGUAUUUAGGCAGCACUUUAGCCGACGCUAACUUGCAAUAGACUGUUUGGAAGACAGACUACCUGGAAGUCACUCACAGUGAUUGUUGUAAGAAAUUACCACAUUUCCACAUUUUAAAUUCCCCAAAUUGUAUGUAAUUUGAGUUACCAAUAAAUGUACCCACCUUACAUGAAGCAAUACAAUAUGAGGUCCCAGUCAGUACUUUUUAAUUUGUCUGUUACUACUACUUCUUACUAAAAAUGUGGGGGAAGAAUUAAAUAUUUUGUUUAGUAAAAGUAUAGAACCAGAAAUUGACACUUGAUUUUUUUAAAAAAACAAUUCACUAAUCUUUAACAACCAUGUUAGCAGCUACCCAGGUUAUUUGAUAAAGGGGAAACAUUUGAAGCAAAUGUCUUACAUUAGCUCUGAAAGGCACAAGAGGAAAAUUCAAAGUUCACAUUUGAAAUUAUGCUUUUUCACAACUUAAAAUUAAACCACGUAAGACAUGAUAUCUUACAUUUUUAAGCUUUGCAAAGGAUGCCAACAUCAAAACUAGAUUUGUAAUUAGACCUUAUUUAAUAGAUUUUUACCAAUGAGCUGAGGUGAAAUAAAUAAAACUCAUUACACAGUGGUUUAAAGAUGUCUGAAAUUCUAUACUUAAAAUCUAGUCGUGAAAUUUAAAUGGUAAAGGUUUCAGGACAAACUAUCUGUUUUCCAGUAGCUUUUUGGUGACUACUGAUUUUCUGAAUUACUUUUUCUGAGACCAAAUACCCUCUGUCUUAGAGGGAGAAUGUGAUGUGAAUUUGUGUUGUGUACAAUCCGACUCUUUCCAAACUGGCCCCACAGGAGACCGGAGCUGAUAUUCUCACAGGCAUCCUUGUGAGAACAUAAAGACCACUGAGAAAUAUCUUCUAUGACUAGGACAAAGAAUAACAAGGAAAAUGAAGUAUAGCUCCGGCUAUCAAACUACUUAUCUUUUCCUUAGAAAAGGCGUACAUUUGUGGAGCUUGAUUACUUUGGGGGGAUAGCUCAUAACCUGCAUUGUGACAUCCUAUUUCUGCAGCAUGCUGUGGUAUGCCAAGCAUGAGUCUGACGCCGUGUUCACCCUAAAAUCCUCUUGAAUCACAAGGCUGACGAUCUUACUUGAAAACCAACCCGAUUUACCCUAUGUUUACACAGGAAGGGUUUUCCCUUCGAUAGUUAAUUUGACUUUUGUCCCAAAUUUUGGUGUGUCAAUAAAAGU